GAUGAACGCUGGCGGCGUGCCUAAUACAUGCAAGUCGAGCGAAUGGAUUAAGAGCUUGCUCUUAUGAAGUUAGCGGCGGACGGAUGAGUAACACGUGGGUAACCUGCCCAUAAGACUGGGAUAACUCCGGGAAACCGGGGCUAAUACCGGAUAACAUUUUGAACCGCAUGGUUCGAAAUUGAAAGGCGGCUUCGGCUGUCACUUAUGGAUGGACCCGCGUCGCAUUAGCUAGUUGGUGAGGUAACGGCUCACCAAGGCAACGAUGCGUAGCCGACCUGAGAGGGUGGUCGGCCACACUGGGACUGAGACACGGCCCAGACGACUACUGGAGGCAGCAGUAGGGAAUCUUCCGCAAUGGACGAAAGGAUGGCGGAGCAAAGCCGCGUGGGUGAUGAAGGCUUUCGGGUCGUAAAACUCUGUUGUUAGGGAAGAACAAGUGCUAGUUGAAUAAGCUGGCACCUUGACGGUACCUAACCAGAAAGCCACGGCUAACUAGGUGCCAGCCGCCGCGGUAA
rnacentral:rRNA from 1 species